AGACACUUAUUGAGCACCUGGGGAAAGGACCCGGUCAGCCCUGGGAGCACAGGUGAAGGCAAUUCAGCUGUGAUUGGAAGGGGUGGAACCUCCACAUCUCUUAGACCCCAUUUAAGGGCUGACUGCGAGUGAGGAAAGUUCUCUGGUUGGAGAUCCCUUCUUAGUGAAGCUUCUUCCUGCAAACCUAGACUCCUCUGAUACAGUAAUCCUUUGGGAGAUUAAAAACAUACACAGAGUCCUUGCCAAGUCGGACUGGGAUGUGUUAUGUGAUGUCUACAUACCAUCAGAUUUGAAGUGGUAACAUUUUCCCAGCAGAAAGACUGGAGAGUUUCUACUGAAAGAAUAUUGAGCUGUAUCUGCCUUUCCCUGUGCUGCUCUCCAUUGAACUGGGAUCAGAAGCAGAUGAACACGCAGGCGUUAUUACUUCUUUCCACUGUGAGCACGUUGUCAGUAAGUGAAACUCAACUGCUGGUGGCAUAAUACCUACGGUGAAGCUGUUGGGGAGUCAGAGCCUGAAGGUACCCACAUGAAUGCAGUGUUCUGAACAGCAGUCUGCACAGAAACGGGAUUCGUGCAAGGACAGCGAGUGCGCUUCAUGCGGCGCUGGGCGCAGUGCAGGCCGCCCGGCUCCUUCCCAGCCUUGAGUCGUUCCAGCCGGGCCGAGUCCCAGCGCCGGCCCCGCGCAGCCCCCGCCGCCCCCGGGCCCUGCAUGAGGGAACGCGCAGCCGCCGCCAUGACGCUUCGUUUGGCC